UACGAGAGGUCCCAAGCGUUGUUCGGAUUCAUUGGGCGUAAAGAGCGCGUAGGCGGCCCGAUAAGUCCGCUGUGAAAAGUCAAAGGGCUUAACCCCUUGAAUGCCGGUGGAAACUGUCGGGCUAGAGUCCGGAAGAGGCGAGUGGAAUUCCUGGUGGUAGCGGUGAAAUGACGCAGAUAUCAGGAGGAACACCGAUGGCGAAGGCAGCUCGCUGGGACGGUACUGACGCUGAGGCGCGAAAGCGUGGGGAGCAAACAGG
rnacentral:rRNA from 1 species